AGCGAACGCUGGCGGCAGGCUUAACACAUGCAAGUCGAACGGGCAUCUUCGGAUGUCAGUGGCAGACGGGUGAGUAACACGUGGGAACGUACCCUUCGGUUCGGAAUAACUCAGGGAAACUUGAGCUAAUACCGGAUACGCCCUUUUGGGGAAAGGUUUACUGCCGAAGGAUCGGCCCGCGUCUGAUUAGCUUGUUGGUGGGGUAACGGCCUACCAAGGCGACGAUCAGUAGCUGGUCUGAGAGGAUGAUCAGCCACACUGGGACUGAGACACGGCCCAGACUCCUACGGGAGGCAGCAGUGGGGAAUAUUGGACAAUGGGCGCAAGCCUGAUCCAGCCAUGCCGCGUGAGUGAUGAAGGCCUUAGGGUUGUAAAGCUCUUUUGCCCGGGACGAUAAUGACGGUACCGGAAGAAUAAGCCCCGGCUAACUUCGUG
rnacentral:rRNA from 1 species